CACGUAGGGCGCAAGCGUUGUCCGGAAUUAUUGGGCGUAAAGAGCUCGUAGGUGGUUUGUCGCGUUGUCCGUGAAAACUCACAACUCAAUUGUGGGCGUGCGGGCGAUACGGGCAGACUGGAGUACUGCAGGGGAGACUGGAAUUCCUGGUGUAGCGGUGGAAUGCGCAGAUAUCAGGAGGAACACCGGUGGCGAAGGCGGGUCUCUGGGCCGAUACUGACGCUGAGGAGCGAAAGCGUGGGGAGCGAACAGG
rnacentral:rRNA from 1 species